rnacentral:pre_miRNA from 1 species
UAUAUACUCCUUUCGUCUUAAAAAAAAUUGUUUUAGAUUUGUCUAGAUAUGAAUGUAUCUACUUACGGUUUAGUGUUUAGAUACAUUCAUUUUCAGACAAACUUAAGACAAGAAAUUUUGGACGAAGAGAGUAUGUA